rnacentral:lncRNA from 1 species
AUCAGACUAAGACAUAUCCUUGUGACUCAUUUGAUCUACCGUAGCGUCUUUUAGGGCCAUGUGUUCUGCACGAUUGGUAAUGAAUCUCAAUAUCGAACCAAGAUGCCAAUGAGAAGUAUUUAAUUAUGUAUGAGAUCUGCAAUUAGAGAGCCAUGUAAGAUAGAUAUCAUGAAAAAUAUUUGGAUGUUUUGAUUUGAUACAAAGAAAAAUCUUCAACCUAUCAACUAAUUUAACAUCAUCUGAAAACAUUAUCACUAAUAAAGGCCCAACAACAUUAACAGUUCACAAUGCCGUUUGUUGCAUGAACAAAAACAUAAUGGAUGAAAAGCUACAUGAAACUAUGAUUUAAAUAUGGGAUUCAAAGGGCUCAAUUAUUUUCUCUUUCAAUAUACUUUUUGGCUUGUUUUUUUACCUUAACCAUGGAGUCUUCAAAGUAAAAGUCUCUCAAUUUUAUAUCCCGAAAAAAAGUGCCUGGAGAGACUAAUCUUUCCAUCCUUAAGCAGAAUAUAGGUGUGGGAUCUAAACAACUAAUAAUAAUACAAUGAAUCAGGUUUUAAUGAUCUAGACAAUCAAGAGCAUAACAUAAAACUAAAGUUAAUGUUGAAUCACUUACCAUGUAUUCGAAAAUAAUAUAUAUAUAUCUGAUAAGGUGUUGAACAUGGUUACGGAGCAGAGGGAGGCAUAAGAAUGGGAAAACAACAAUGUUAACAUUUGAAUCACCUGUCGUAGAUCCAAAAUUAAAAAACAUCAACUUGACUUACUUUUAUCUCCAAAACAAACAAUGCAAGAAUUGGAAAAGAACUACAACAAUAUUAAAAAGACAAUUAGUAAACUAAUUAGAUAAAUAGAACUCAAUUAACAUACUAACCCCAACUGUGUUGAAUUUGAGCCGAGCUUCCUAUGGCGCACAAACUUAAAGUGAUUGAUACCAUUCCUUAGAUUUUAAUACAUUGAGUACCAAGAUACCAUGAAGAUCUCUUUGAGAGCUUAAUGCUCAUCGAGCAUGAGUACAUAUGGAAUAGGCUCACCAUUAAAAUAAAUUAAAAUUUACAAAAUCAUAAUGAUCUCAUAUAUAAUCUAAGUGAAAAAGAAAAGAUAUACAUAUAAAGGACUGCAACGUACACCUUUAACACAUUACUUUCAUCCCAAG